CAAGCUGUACUUGUACAGCGAAGUGGUUGAUGCCAUGCUUCCAGGAAAAGUCUCUAAGCUUCAGUUACACAGGAAUCGUACCCGAAACCGACACAGGUGGUCAGGUCGAGUAGACCAAGGCGCUUGAGAGAACUCUGCUGAAGGAACUAGGCAAAAUGGUACCGUAACUUCGGGAGAAGGUACGCUGUUGUUGGUGAUGGAACUCGCUUCCUGAGCUGACGACAGCCGCAGAAACCAGGCCGCUGCAACUGUUUAUUAAAAACAUAGCACUCUGCAAACACGAAAGUGGACGUAUAGGGUGUGAUGCCUGCCCGGUGCUGGAAGGUUAAUUGAUGGGGUUAGCGUAAGCGAAGCUCUUGAUCGAAGCCCCAGUAAACGGCGGCCGUAACUAUAACGGUCCUAAGGUAGCGAAAUUCCUUGUCGGGUAAGUUCCGACCUGCACGAAUGGCAUAAUGAUGGCGGCGCUGUCUCCAGCAGAGGCUCAGUGAAAUCGAAAUCGCUGUGAAGAUGCAGUGUACCCGCGGCUAGACGGAAAGACCCCGUGAACCUUUACUGCAGCUUGACACUGAACUUUGACCUUACUUGUGUAGGAUAGGUGGGAGGCUUUGAAGCUGGAACGCUAGUUCCAGUGGAGCCGUCCUUGAAAUACCACCCUGGUAAUGUUGAGGUUCUAACUCUGUCCCGUGAUCCGGGACGAGGACCGUGUCUGGUGGGUAGUUUGACUGGGGCGGUCUCCUCCUAAAGAGUAACGGAGGAGUACGAAGGUGCGCUCAGCGUGGUCGGAAAUCACGCGUAGAGUAUAAAGGCAAAAGCGCGCUUAACUGCGAGACCCACAAGUCGAGCAGGUACGAAAGUAGGUCUUAGUGAUCCGGUGGUUCUGUAUGGAAGGGCCAUCGCUCAA
rnacentral:rRNA from 1 species